rnacentral:tRNA from 1 species
GGGAAUGUAGUUAAUAAUAACACUUAAUUUGCAAUUAAGAAGAAUUGAAUAAAUCUUUCUCA